rnacentral:lncRNA from 1 species
AAUUUGUUGGGAUUUUUUUUAAAGUGAGACAGUUUCAUCCACCGUCGAUUAUGCUGAUUAUACGAAUCUCAAAUUAAGCACGACGGAUGGUGAGUGAGACUGUCGCACUCUCCAUAGGGCGAGACUUUCUCACUUUGGGGACCGUCUUCAUAAAAUUUUUGUGCGAUACUAGAUGAUUUUUAUAGUGUUGCAUAAUACUGUAGUAGUAUAUCUUAUUGAUAAGUGGUUUUAGGUUUGUAAAUGGUUAGUAUCCGCU